GGGGCGCGGGGGAGCGCCGGCAGGCGGCUGGUUCCGGAAAGGAGAGGAGGCUCGAGCCUGUGGAUCUGGCGGGCCAAGCCCUUGCAGCGCAGAAGAAGCCGCGCAGGCGCUCAGCGCACCUCUAGGUCUCUAGGUCCCGAACCACCUUUAAGGCUGGCGGCAGCGGUUGCUUCACAACGAGCGUGGGCGGGGCCAAAGCGGCGAAAGGGAAGCGCCGGUCCGCCCGCCCCUCCCACGCCACCAGCGUAACGUCGGAAAGUCUCCGCGGUGGUGUGAGGUGUCACUUCGUAGCGUGAGGUUCUUCCGCCACUUGGGGCCCGGUGGGCGGAGUCUCAAAUGCCAAAAAAAAUCCCUAGGACAGGAAAUAUCUAGUACAGGUGACUUUAGGGCAUGUGAGAAGAGGUUUAGCUGAGUUUGCCACUCUGCUUGAUUGCUGGGAUUACUGAAUCUCCAGAUAUGUACAGCCUGAAGACUGCUCCCUUACAGAACAUGUUUGUAAUAUACAAACUAAGAACCCUGGAGUGUUGCAGUUUCUCCAUCAGAGAACCCAGACCACCUGAGCCCAGCUUUCUGUACACUCCCAUUUCUUCCUUUACUCAUCCCCCAAGUCAGGUUAAGUCUCUGAGGCAAUAAAGGUUUAAAUACA